rnacentral:lncRNA from 1 species
CUUCUUGUUGCAGUUGUGUAAAAACUUCUACUUUGACUUUAGUUGACCGAGAAAGCUCGUUCACUUAAAUGGUGAAACUUAUCCUUCUAUAGCUUCCAUGGCGUGUUAUACAAAGACGUGAGUUUGUUUGUGGAGUUUUCCAAAAACCUGAUCAAGAAACUCAGCACCUUUGCUUGAGAAACUUUUCCUAAUGUUUGAGAAAACUUAGCUCGAGUAUGAAAGCUUACACUCCUCUGGACACAAAACCUCAAGAGGCCGCGGAACAAAGAGAAACGUCUUGCCUGAUAAAUCUGUCAAGAACAUCGAGAGAGCAGGAGCGAGCAGCUCAAAUUCAGGGUCGCAUGAAUCACGAAGGAAGUAGCUUCCAUCCCCUGCAAUUCAAUCGAAACACAACUUGUCAAGGUUUACAAAGCUUGUCCGGCUCGGCUUUCGAUCCACGAAGUUCAACCGGUCACAACACCCAAGCCCUGUUUCCUGCCUGGCUGGGACGAUAACAUCUUCCUCACACCAAGGAGUGUAUCUCCUCGCUGUAGCAUCCACAACAUACCUAUAACAUCCAAAACAAGAUAACUGUUUCUGUAAACAUGUAACAAAAAGUCGUACCUCUUGUUUCUGUGGCCAAGUUUUGAGCAGAUCUGGUACUCUUCAAAUGCCGCGAGUUCACGCUGCUGUGUUGCCAUCCCGAGGUGCCGGACAUCUCAACCCGAUGCUCGAGCUAUGCCGGCGAAUUGUCCACUGCGGAUUCAGUGUAAGCUUCCUGAUUCCAGAAAACUGUCCCUACAUCCCCACCAGCGAGGAGCAGCAAGAGGGCGAGAGCUUUCACCUCGUGUUCUUCUCGAUGCCGAAGGAAGAAAUCCCCAACAACAACAUGUUUAUGUCCCCGGAGAUGCUCCACUUCGUCAAGCCAGCGCUGGAAGCUCUAGAACCCCCGGCACAGGUGCUUAUCUCGAGCGCAUUCAUGGGAUGGUCCCAAGAUCUGGCCGACUCUCUCGGCAUU